rnacentral:rRNA from 1 species
AUGUCGCCAUGGCAUCGACUGUCAGUUACGAGUAUUACAAGUACUUCCCUCACCAGAACGGAAUGUCAAUAUCUGCCAGGCCCUUCUUUCCUUCGAUGUUUAUUAGUGACUUGUUUAUGGUUGUCUUAUGGGAAAUACCAGUUUUUUGUUGUUCCAGUUCUGGUGGCCUGGGUGGCUGCUACUCAAGAGAAAUUUUUGGGGGCUCCAUUUUGCGACGAUGUGCUCAGCUGGGCAAGGAUUGCACGUAUUGACGAACGUAUGCCAUUCUAUUCCCUAUGUGCGUGUUUGGUUGCCUUCUUGAACAGUGCCUGCAUUUCAUACGUGUCUUGA